rnacentral:misc_RNA from 1 species
GAUGAAGAACGUAGCGAAAUGCGAUAAGUAGUGUGAAUUGCAGAAUUCAGUGAAUCAUCGAAUCUUUGAACGCACAUUGCGCCCUUUGGUAUUCCAAAGGGCAUGCCUGUUCGAGCGUCAUUUGUACCCUCAAGCUUUGCUAGGUGUUGGGGCCUGCUGCACUGGCAGCCCUUAAAAUCAGUGGCGGCGCCAUCUGGCUCUAAGCGUAGUAAUUCUUCUCGCUAUGGAGUCCUGGUGGAUGCUUGCCAUCAACCCCCAAUUUUUCUAUGGUUGACCUCGGAUCAGGUAGGGAUACCCGCUGAACUUAAGCAUAUCAGUAAGCGGAGGA